rnacentral:rRNA from 1 species
UACGUAGGGGGCAAGCGUUAUCCGGAUUUACUGGGUGUAAAGGGAGCGUAGACGGUGAAGCAAGUCUGAAGUGAAAGGCGGGGGCUCAACCAUGGAACUGCUUUGGAAACUGUGCAGCUGGAGUGCAGGAGAGGUAAGCGGAAUUCCUAGUGUAGCGGUGAAAUGCGUAGAUAUUAGGAGGAACACCAGUGGCGAAGGCGGCUUACUGGACUGUAACUGACGUUGAGGCUCGAAAGCGUGGGGAGCAAACAGG